AAGGAUCAUUACCACAAAUUACGGGGGGUUGGCUCCAAAGUUCAAGCCUGCUUGUUCGUUGUCCAGCUCCUGCCUGUAUAUACCCUUGUCUUUUGCGUACAAUUUGUUUCCUUGGGGGGCUCGCCCCCCAAUUGGACACCAAUACAACCCUUUGUAAUUGCAAUCAGCGUCAGAAUAAAAAUAAUAAUUACAACUUUCAACAACGGAUCUCUUGGUUCUG
rnacentral:misc_RNA from 1 species